rnacentral:rRNA from 1 species
AGCGAACGCUGGCGGCAGGCCUAACACAUGCAAGUCGAACGAAGCCUUCGGGCUUAGUGGCGGACGGGUGAGUAACACGUGGGAACGUACCUUUUGGUUCGGAAUAACGCAGAGAAAUUUGCGCUAAUACCGAAUGAGCCCUUCGGGGGAAAGAUUUAUCGCCGAAAGAUCGGCCCGCGUUGGAUUAGGUAGUUGGUGUGGUAAAGGCGCACCAAGCCUACGAUACAUAGCUGGUCAGAGAGGAUGAUCAGCCACACUGGGACUGAGACACGGCCCAGACUCCUACGGGAGGCAGCAGUGGGGAAUCUUGCGCAAUGGGCGAAAGCCUGACGCAGCCAUGCCGCGUGAAUGAUGAAGGUCUUAGGAUUGUAAAAUUCUUUUACCAGGGACGAUAAUGACGGUACCUGGAGAAAAAGCCCCGGCUAACUUCGUGCCAGCCGCCGCGGUAAAAC